rnacentral:rRNA from 1 species
UGGGGAAUAUUGCACAAUGGGGGAAACCCUGAUGCAGCGACGCCGCGUGAGUGAUGAAGUAUUUCGGUAUGUAAAGCUCUAUCAGCAGGGAAGAAAAUGACGGUACCUGAGUAAGAAGCCCCGGCUAACUACGUGCC